AUGAGCAAGUUAGAUUCUUUCUUCUGCAAUGACGACUGUGACGUUGAGUUUGGCUCUCACAUCCUUCAUGCUCUCUCAUCCUCGCUCUCGGAUCACUGCCCACCCAAUUUCAAGAGAAUUGUCCAAGAUGCUUGGAGCAAGGGAACAAGCCACUCCGAGCCCUAUCAAGUGCUCUUUCACAAGCUGAAAAGAACAAGCCAGUGCCUCAGGCGAUGGAGCAAAUCCAUCUUCUCAAAUCACAAAGUGCAGCUCCACAUCGCCCUCGAGAUCAUCCUCCGCCUCGACGUGGUUCAAGAGACCAGGACACUCAGCUUGGCUGAAUGGAGUCUAAGGAAGGACCUCAAAAAGAAGGUGGUGGCCUUGGCGGUUCUUGAGCGAACCAGGAAAAGACAAAGUUCGAGAGUUAAGCUACUCAAAGAGGGGGAUGCGAAUACCCGUUUAUUUCACCUCCGUAUCAACCACCGCCAAAGGAAAAACUUCAUUCACCGCCUUAAGCACAACAACGGUUGGGUCACUAGUCAUGAUCACAAGAAGGACAUUAUCCAGAGCCACUUUUCAAAAGCCAUUGGGAAGGGCCUCCUGCGCUCCAAGGACUUCAAUUGGGGCUGCAUCCCAUCGGGGAUCCUUUAUCCCCCUUGCUCUUUGUCCUCGCCAUCGACUCUCUCCACCGAGGAAGGCAACCUUCAUCCGCUACGUGGAAAUCUGAUUCGGGCAUCCCUGUAUGCUGAUGGUGCGGCCAUCUUCGUUGCGCCUAUCAAAGAGGACAUCCAGUUUCUAGCCUCGACGCUGAGCUGCUUUGGUGAGGUCACCGGACUUGUCGCCAACUGCAACAAAAGUUUGGUUGCACCCAUUCAGUGUGCCAACCUCGACCGUGAUGGCAUGCUCCGGCUUUCCCGGCCGUGCGGACCUCUUUCCCUAUGCGUACCUCGAGGACAAGAUCGCGUGCAAGCUCCCACCUUGGUCGGCCAUGCACGUGGUUGCCCUAGAUGCAUCAUUUUGGUCAAAGCGGUUCUCACGACCAUAACAACCUAUCAUCUAACACCCCUAGAUAUCCCGGUUGAGGUGCAGAAGAAAAUCGAUAGCCUAAGAUGUGUCUAUCUUUGGGCAGGCUGCGACAAGGAGUCUGGAGGAAAAUGUAAGGUUAACUGGAACCUUGUCUGCAAACCCAAGAUUUUCGGCGGCCUGGAUUUCUUUGCGACGUUCACGACUGUGUCCAUUAGUGAUGGUAAAAGGGCAAAAUUCAGGGAAUCAUCAUGGCUUAAUGGCCUCAGACCAAAAGAUGUUGCGCCCAAGAUCUUCGAGACAUCUAAGAGGAAGGCGUGCUUGGUCAGCAAAGCGCUUGAUAACAACUUCUGGGUCAGUCAAAUCGACGCUACUCAAGGCCUCUCUUUGGCCCAUAUCCAAGAGUUCGCCAAUCUUUGGGGGAUGCUUCAGGAUGUUACUCUCAGCCUGGAAAGGGAGUACACUAUACAGUGGAAAUUCACCUCUAACAAUGAAUAUUCUGCGGCCAUAGCUUACAUGGCGCAUUUGCGUGACAAAUUUAGUGCCCGAGUUUGGAACGAGAUCAUCACUUGGCUUGGCAUUCAUGGCCAACCUACGACGGCUUGGCGUCACGAGAUCUCCGUCCAGGAUUGGUGGCUCAAGAUGAUCAACUUUGGAGGCCACAUCAAGAAGGCGAUUGCCUACGUUAUGAUGCCUGUCUCGUGGGAAAUUUGGAAGGAGCGAAAUGCGAGAAUCUUCCGCAACACGGCCACCCCGACCACUGUCAUUGUUUCGAAGAUCAAAGAGGAGGCCCGCCUUUGGUCGUUGGCUGGAGCCAUGAGACCAAGCAUAUUAACCAUCCCUCUUCUUCCAGGGCCAUGGGUCCAUGUCUUAAUUUGUACUGGUAAUCAGUAUUAUGGGCCUUGCCAACUAGUAGAUGAUGUUGGCGCCUGCGGCAGCUCCUGGUGGGCCAGCCCACGAACGCGCAAAAAGAAAAAAAAUAUCUCGCUUCCUGGCGCAGUGGUUGUUCGAAUGAAGCCUCCCGAGUGA
rnacentral:rRNA from 1 species